AAAAAGUCACUGUGCUUGGAAACAGAUCUUUGAACAUCGCUUUUGUUGCAAGCAGCCUUUCUCCACUUCUCAACAUGGGCUGCCACAGCUGUCUCGAGCGCAAGCUCAGUUUGUGGUUAUGUCAGUUCAAACACAACAUUCAGAGAACCAAAUACAGCAGUUUUGUAGAAACACAGGAGAUGCAGCAGGAAUGGUCAUUAUUGGUUUGGGUCUAAGCUACUGGUAAACUUGGAAUACUUAAAAAGUGAGAGCACAUAUCAGUUGUUAAAAAUAAAAGCUCUGCAGUGGUUGUGCCUAAUAUAAAUUAGGCAAGUAUUUCUUCAGACCACAGUUGUUUUAUUUUUUGUACCAUCACUACAGUACCCUGCAGACUUCAUUAGAAUGGUUUCAAAGAGAGAUGGAGCAAAGUGUUGCACUAUUACUUCUGUUUAUGUAGUUUCAGAAGUGAAUGAGCAAGUUGGCUGCAGUUUUGUGCCUGGACCUCUGGGGUAGAGGAGGAGAAGAAAGAAAAAAGAAAGAUGCUCCUUUGCUCACGUGAUGGUGAAUAUACCACAAACUCAAAACACUUUAACCUAAACUCACAGAAGAGGGGGCAGACUGAAAAGUGUUGCUUGUUCCAAGCAAAUGUGUGGAAUGGAAUCACCUCAGCCCCCUUCCUGCACUUCCAACUGCCAAGUCUCUCCUAGCUUCCUCCUUAGCUGGUAUCAGAGAUUUUCUCCACUGCAAAUCCGGGAACAUCAAGAACAGGCUAUGCUGCCCUGAAAUAAAUGGAAUACAAACAGAAGGGGCUCGUGGAGGGAUUGUGUUAUUCAAUUUUUACAUUUAAUGAAAAACUCCAUUUGUUCAGUCAUAGCUGCUGAGGAAUGACAGGCUGCCACAAAACCCAGAACAUCCGUCCAGACCGCCACAGAAUACACUGGAUCACCUCCAGAGGCUCUGCCAGCACCAUGCUGACAUAAAAGACAAAACCAGCAAGAAAUUAUAUGGCAACAGGUUCAAGUUGUGGUUUGCUUAAAUUAACGACAGGUAGGUGGAAAGAUAAUUAUUAUAUUACAUCUUAGUCCACUGCAAACAGUAAAAAUAUCAAAGGUCCCAAAAUUCAGUCUGAGUAAGACAUAUUACUGAAACCCCCACCCUUACCCUAACAGGCUAAGACAUGGCAACAAAAAUUACCCACCCCACUAUUAAAGAAACAGAAAUGUUACCAAGAACAGCUCACUAAAUAUAAAGAACUACAUUACCCAGGAAGAGUUUAUUGCAAAACCAGGAAAGAGACAGCAAACUAGAAGUCUGUCUUCCAUUUCAGGUUUGUAUCACUUGUUCAAGUUUCAGGCACUCCUGCACACGCACACACACACACACACACACACACACACACACAGGCAGCCUGUACACAGAAAGUCACUAACACAUUUGAGUUCCCACAGUCUCACAAGAAACCUUAAAACAUUUCAGUAAAAAGUUAAAAUGAGAUCUUUUACCACAAGGACUAUAAAAUCCCCCCCCUCCCCCACUAGCCUUGGAUUUCUAAGUUUUGGAUUCUAAAAACCAUACGUAAAAAGGAAGGCAGAAAGACCACCUUAAAAAUAUCAAAGUAAGUUAAAGGAGAGUUAAUGCAACUGAAAAAAAAAAACCAAAAC